rnacentral:tRNA from 1 species
GGUAAGGUGGCUGAAUUUUAGGCUAUAAAUUGUAAAUUUAUAUAUGGUUAAUUACCCCUUAUCA